rnacentral:lncRNA from 1 species
UGCUGGAGUGGAGCUGAGAGAGGCUCUUGGGAGCUGCCUGCGUGGGCAGAGUUUGAAGGCUUAGGAUAUCUCCUGAAGGCCGGAUGGGCCAGUAGAGAUUAACGAGGCUUGAGCUGUCUUGAAAGAUGGCUGCCCUGAGAACUGGCUAGAAGAGGAGACCAAGGAGGCUGUGUGGGUCACCCUUGCAUUGGAGAUGAGGGGAGUCGUGAGAGAUCAGUGGGGAGCCCAUUGCCCUGUUGGGGAACUGCCUGGUGGAGCUUUCCCAGGGAUAUUUUAAAGAACCUACAUGGGAGAAAGCCUGCAUUUGGACAUCUUCCAGGCCAUUCAAUAGCCAAAGAGAACCACCAACAGCUUGAAUCAAAAAAAAGGCCCUCAAAAUAGGCUGAAUGAAAAGAGGUGUGAUCGAUGAAAACUGGCCGCUCCUUCUUUGCAACUCCUUCCAUUAGGUGGUGGAGUCUACGUUGCCCUCCCUUUGAUCCAGGCUGGCCACACAAAUUACUUUCACCAACAGAAUGCUGUAGAAGUGAUACUGCAUGACCUCUGAGCCCAGGCCUUAAGGGACUUUGCAGCUUCUGUUCUUGGCCUCUGGCUGCUCUGUGACUACCAUGGAAGGAGUUCCACACUAACCUCCUGUAGGGUAAGAGACACGUGGAGGCAGACUGAGCCUCCCAGCCAUCCCACUGAGGCUCCAGGCGUGCCAGUGAUGUACCUGGCUGAAGCCUGGCCCCCAGUCACCCACUGACGGCAGCUGCAAAGGUGCCCGUGAUGAGACAAGAAGACCAAGGCUCAGGGAGGUUAUGCAAUGAGUCACCAGCAAGGACGUGCCAGAGCUGAGAUGCAAACCAGGUACAAUUUGCUUGAUGUCAUCAAUACAGUGAGCCAGUGUGAUAUUCUGCGGAAUUGAAGAUGACUACAGUCCCUUUGGACUACACUAUGACAAAGAACAAGAGUGUUAGCACAGCCCUGGGUGGGUCACUGACAAGAAAAUUCACCUGGAGGCCAAAUUGUCUCUAAUAACAAGUCCAAGACAUGCAUUCCAGCUGGAAUCCUCUUCCCGGAUGGUUGUGUGUUUUUAAUUGCAGUAGCCAUCUCCAAAAAUGCCAUCCAGUAACCAUGCCCUUGUGUGCUGCCCUUUCCAUGAAUCUGAGCUAGCCCCAUAAUUUGCUUUUGGCCAUUGGAUGGUGGUGGAAGUGAUGCUGUGUGACUUUUGAAGCUGAGUUACAAGCAGCCUUGGACAGUCUUUCUAGACCUCGUGGAGGGCUCACUCUGGGGGAAGCCAACCAGCAUGUAAGGAGCAUAACUGCCCUGAGACCGCCGUGUUGUUAGGAUGCCCAGCUAGCUAUGUGGAGAAGCUGCAUAGACUGAGGGAGAAGCCCAGCUAGUCCCCAGUUAUUCCUGCCACCCUAACUGAGGCACCAGACCCAUGAGCAAAGAAACCAUCAUGGAUGUCCUGUCCCAUCCAGCUUCUGUGACUGUAACUGUAUGAGGACCCCAAUGAAAACCACACAGCUGAGCCUAGUCAACACACAGAGCUAUGGAAGAUAAUAGUAAAUUGUUGCUUUAAGCCACUUGGUGUUUAUUCAUUUGUUUGGAGGGGGUCGGGGGCAGAGAGAUUAUGCAGCAGUCGAAAACCAGAACACUUGCAUAAAUCUCUAUGAAGCUGGACAUCUCUCUAGACCUGAAGAAGCUCCAGAAUGCCCUGAGCCUGGCAUGACUACAGGGCCACUCUAUUCCCCCGCUGGAAUGAUCCAGAGUGCCAGGAAAACAGGCCCUUCACACAAGGCCCUGAGUCUGUUUCCUGGUUCCUCCAUGACUAGCUGCAAAACUUUAGACAAGCCAGUGCUCUCUCAGCCUGAAUUUUCCCAUCUGCAAAGUUAGGCAAUAGAGUCAAUGGAUCAUCAAAGAUUCUUCUGCUUCUCUGCCUCAUGAAAUAUCACUCUGUGCCUAAGAGAUGAACACACCACCUAGAAUUCCCCCUCUAGGCGUGCCCUUUCUCGGUUCACUCACAUGAUAGGCAUAAAGGCACAAGGAGAAAGGAGCUCAUCUGCGCUGUUUCUGGGCUUCAGGAAUCUCCAGUCACCAAGUGAGGCUGUGGGAGGGCCAGACAUGCCAGCCAGUACCCAGGUUCCCAGCUCCAUGCCCCUCCUCAGCCUCCCUUGAGUUUUUCAGUGCUAAAGAGGGAGCACCUGCUCCAAGGCCCAGGUAGUUCUGGAAUCCCAGCUCUACCUGAGAAGAGGAAGUUCCUGCCUGCCAAAGAAGAGGGGCCUCCUGAGAGGAGUAGGCUUCUCGGUGGCUGCAAAGCGUCUGGUGACAAUAUUUGUGUCUAAAAAUACAGCAGCUGAGAACCAGCUAAUUGCAGCCUCUGGAGUCAUUCAUAGCUCAGCGUUUCACACCACACUUGCACCUCUUCCAGUGUUUCUCAGGAGCUGCCACGAAGGAGGCCACUUAUGGGUGGAAACCCAGCCAGGAGGGCCCAGGAUUGGGCCUAAGGUCCAGGGCAUCCUUUCACCCAAGAGCCCAGCCUGGUACCAGUAUGUAGCUGGCACCUAGGAAUAGAGCAAAGAGAGCAAGUUUCUCAAGUCAGCUGAAUCCCCCCCCCUCUACUCAGAUGCCCUUGGCCACUUGCCCAUCAGGAUCCAUUCAGACCUGUUGGGGCCCCUCAAAAGGCAAUGGCCCAGGUAUAACUUCAUGAGUGAGAUGUACUCGAAGAGAUGCACAAGGUCCAGGAAUUACCUUGCUGGAGACGGCCUUCUGUCCUGGACCUGCAGCCGGCAGGGUGCUAACCUUUGAGCUAGGACCUCUGCUGGACUGGGUCAUGGGCUAAGCAGGGGUUGGGACCCCAUAGCUCCCUGCUGUGGAUCCUCCUUUCUUUCAGAGCUUCUCAGAUGGCUCCUGUCUCGUCUACCAGGAUAAAGGGCAUGACUCAAGGUCACAGGAUGUGACGAUCUGAGAACUUCAGCCACAGCCUCUCUGGUGCCCCACACUGCCUGAACACACAGUGGACGAAGGUCAUGGCAAAAGUAGAAGGAACCCUGCGUGGGGAAUGUGUUUGCCUCAGGCUUUAGGAGAAGGAAUUUUUUUUUUCUUAAUCAGGGAGGCAUUUUAAAAGCACAAAGCCAAACUAACAUUUGUGUAGUAUUUUUCACUUGGCAAAAUGCUGUCACACACCUAGUGCUAGGUGGUUCCCAUGUUAAUUAGAUGAGGUGGUUAUUAUUAUGGCGUCCACUUUAUGGGUAAUUAAACUGAGGAUCAGAGGGGCUGAGUCAUUUCCCCAGGGUCACCAAAGUCAUGACCAGCCUUGAACUCAAGUCAGGAGCCCUCCUGCUGGGUCAGCAGGCCCAGCACCGCCUCCUGGCCCAGCUUAGAAGCUUGACUAGUCAGCCCCAUUGGGGUCCCAGAUUACAGAAAUGCCACACUCCGGCCACACAGCCCUGAAUCCAACCUAAAUCCAGCUCCAUCAACUUCCCCCUAUCUGCGAAAUUCAUUUGAAUCCCACUCUGAAUCUGGAUCCAUUAACCUUUGACCUAUGAGAAAUGAGUCAGAGCCUAAGAAAAAGCGGGCACCUAGAGAAAGCAGGGAGCAAAAAACAGAGUUUCUGAGAGCAGGGGCCCUCUGCUUGAUGGUCAGCUCCUCCCCUGGCACCUGGGCCAGGUCAGCCGAUGCUCUGUGUGGCCAAGAGAGGGCCAGACCUGGCCUCUGGCUGUGAGUGGCUGGGACGGCGAGCAAGACCCAGCUACAUAUCUGUCUUCAGCCCCUGCAACUGGGAGAGCAGCAACUCAGAGAUCAGCCGUUUCACCCUUCUUCCUAAUCACCGCGGGCGUGAUGGAACACCUUGACAUUCUUUAACGAAAGUUCAACUCCACUGCCACUCGGGGCGCUGCAUGAGGAAUGAGGUUUAUGUUGAAUCCCAGAAUCACAGAAAUUAGAGAUGAAAAAGGACGCUGAGGUCAGAGGCAGCCCAUCCCCAUGGGGCCAAGUGCACGUUCUUCUCGGUAAUAGACUUUCCCUUUAUUCCUCCAGUCCAGGUGGCUGCCUCCCUGAAGACCAUUCUCCACUGUUUCUUGGAGAAGACACUGUUGAUAGAAAUGAGAAGUCUGUGCUGAUCCCUGCAUGAUUUGCUUUGAAAUUUAUUAAUCAUCCAAAAGCUGGUGAAGAGGGGAAAAAAGAGAAUGUAAACUCAUCUGGUAGCCAGCGUGCCUGAGUGCGAAGAAGGAGGAGAGCCAGAACCCUCUGGGUUUCCAGCUUGCUAUAGCUCUAGGGCAGCAUGGGACAGUGUAGACUGAUCACUGACUUGCUAUGUAACCUGGCAAAAUUUUGACUUCCCUGAGCCUCAGUUUUCUCAUCUGCAAAAUGGGAGCUCAUGAUGCCUAUGCACAGGGCUGUUGGAAGAUUAGAGUUAACAAAGAUCCGUGUCCCUGUCUGUAACACAGGGCUAAGCAAGUUCUUCAGCUAUUGGGCUUCAUCCACUCAACAUUCCACUGGCACUUCCAGAGCUGCCACCACACUUCAGACUCCCAAGGCUAACAAUGACCAAGAAAGACAGAUUCUCUGACGUCAUGGAACUUACUGUCUUUAUGAAUUUCCAGGGAGAAGGGUGCUAAGAUGCUAACAUGGAUACUAACCAUCUGAUGCAAUAUUCUGCUGCACAGAUUGUGACCUAUGACUCACUGGGACAUGAUAGAGGUCACAGAAAUGCCAAUGACAUCCCAAAGACAGUGUGGGAGUGUGUUGUCUAGCUUCUUAGCAAACCCCACCCCCACGGUGGCAUGACCCCUGCACCAUCUUCUCCCACCCUGGGAUCUCCUUCCUACCCCUCUGCCCAUGUCAAUCUGGAAGGUACUUUUAUACACACACACACACACUCCUAAUAGCAUCUAAAUCAGUCACUCUCAACCUUGGCUGUGCAUUAGUGGUGCUUACCUAUGACAGGGCUAGGCCCAGGCCACACCCAAAUCCAUUAAAGCAGAGCGUCUGGGGUGGGACCCAAGCAUCAGAGUUAUUGGCAUCUUCCCAGCUCGAGAACCAGUGCUCUAAGCGGAUGUGGUCGUCGGGGGAAAGGCAAGGACCUCUGGUCUUUACAAUCUUCUUGAUAUCACUGAAUAACCUCAGUUUCUCUGUCUGGGCAAGGAGGGUACUAAUACCUCCCUCUCCAGGCCAUGAUGAAGAAGUAUGUGUGCAUCACAGGAGUCCAGGCUUUGAGCCUGGGAUCAGCACAGUUCCUGACUCUGACCCACACACCAUGAGCCAAAGCUCUAGACCUUUCAGAAAUUCUUCACCAUCAGAAAAAUGGAGGUGGCACGCCCUGCCGCAGCUGAUCAACUUCCCAGAUGUGCUGCGAGCCUGCAGUAAGAGAAUGGAUGUGAAAGUGCUUUGUAAACUGAAAAUUCCAAUGAGAAAAAUCCAUUAUCAUUAGGAGAAAGAGAUAGAAGUGGCCUGGCUUUGAAACAUGGUGCUAUCCCCUAGCAAGCAGAGGAGGAGCUUCCAGACAGAAAAUGGUACCUUUCCCCAGAGUCUAUGUUGAGGUGCACCAGCCUUUCCAGUCCUGAGAAAAGACAGAGUCAUGGCUCCAGGGCAGGUGGGCAUGCCUGUGUCCCAGGAGGCACUGUUCUUCCUGGCCAGAGACCCAUGCCCACUUCAGAGGAGCCAUGAAGGAGAAACACCAGGCCACAGUGGAGGACUGUGAUCAAGGAAAAAUUGAAGAACUGCUGCAGGAAAUUGGAGCUGCCAAUCUCCUAACAAUUGGAAUUUUUUUAUACUGUGCAUUUCACAAAUGUAUGUCCUCAAGGACAGAGAAGAUCCUGCCCUAAGGAGCAAGUGUGCGGAGGCCACCUGGCCUUCACUGGUUCCUGCACUGAAUGUUUCCUUCUCACCUGCUGAGUACCAGGUGUUACCCCAGGUAGCCUCAGUGUGAUGGAUUAUCUGCAGAGAUCAUCACCAGUAAUCCUCCAGCCCUGUACAUAUCCACUCUUUUCCAUCAGGAGGUGAAAUUUAUUUCCCCUCCCCUUGAAUCUAGGCCAGUCUUGUGACUUGCUUUGACACUGACUUUUCUUACACUGUGCAUUUCACAAAUGUAUGAGAUGGCAGAAGGACUGAGGACCUGGGGAGGAGAGAGGAGGAAACUGGAGGACUGUGAACGUGGCCACGUCUUUUCCAAUGGAGAGAAAACUCAAUCGGAUCUGGGCACUCCCUACAUUUCUCCACCUCCUGCCGCCCCCGUGAGCCACUGCAGGGAGAUUUUUCUGAAUAAUGGAACAUUUUCCUGUUUUAAUCAGAUGCAAUUUUGCAAGCAGUUUUUAUGAUUUAGCAAGUCCAUUAAAACUGGCAUUUGUUCUGCUCUGACACUCGAAAGGGGCUCCACAGAGCAUAAACAUUGGAAAUUACUUGUAGGGAGAGACAAUAUUAAAAUUCCCCAGCCUGG